rnacentral:rRNA from 1 species
AGAAUCAACGCUGGCGGCGUGCCUAACACAUGCAAGUCGAACGAGAAAGUGGAGCAAUCCAUGAGUAAAGUGGCGCACGGGUGAGUAACACGUGACUAACCUACCCUUGAGUGGGGGAUAACCUAGAGAAAUCUGGGCUAAUACCGCAUAAUACCUUCGGGUCAAAGGAGCAAUUCGCUUAAGGAGGGGGUCGCGGCCGAUUAGUUAGUUGGCGGGGUAAUGGCCCACCAAGACUGUGAUCGGUAUCCGGCCUGAGAGGGCGCACGGACACACUGGAACUGAAACACGGUCCAGACUCCUACGGGAGGCAGCAGUGGGGAAUUUGCGCAAUGGGGGAAACCCUGACGCAGCAACGCCGCGUGGAGGAUGAAGUCCCUUGGGACGUAAACUCCUUUCGAUCGGGACGAUUAUGACGGUACCGAGAGAAGAAGCCCCGGCUAACUUCGCGCCAGCAGCCGC